rnacentral:rRNA from 1 species
GAUCAUGGCUCAGGAUGAACGCUAGCUACAGGCUUAACACAUGCAAGUCGAGGGGCAGCAGAGCAAUAGCUUGCUAUUGUGCUGGCGACCGGCGCACGGGUGAGUAACGCGUAUCCAACCUACCCCGCGGUCAGGGACAGCCCGGCGAAAGUCGGAUUAAUACCUGAUGCAGUCAGAAGAGGGCAUCUGAUUUUGACGAAAGAUUCAUCGCCUCGGGAUGGGGAUGCGUAGGAUUAGGCAGGCGGCGGGGUAACGGCCCACCGCGCCGACGAUCCUUAGGGGUUCUGAGAGGAAGGUCCCCCCACACUGGUACUGAGACACGGACCAGACUCCUACGGGAGGCAGCAGUGAGGAAUAUUGGUCAAUGGGCGCGAGCCUGAACCAGCCAAGUAGCCGUGCAGGAGGACGGCCCUAUGGGUUGUAAACUGCUUUUAUGCGGGGAUAAAGUGCGGCACGUGUGCCGUUUUGUAGGUACCGCAUGAAUAAGGACCGGCUAAUUCCGUGCCAGCCGCCGC